UCAUACAAUGUCUCUGAUGUGUGCUUAAUAAUGUUGAUCUGUUUGCCUCUCUCCUUCCCCCUCUCUAUCAAUUGCAAUUUGUCUUGCAAGGCUAUAUCCUAUUCAAAGCAUUCAGAAGUGACACAGGUGAAGCUCAUAGUUCAGUUUCCUUCUAAAAUAACUUGCUGAUUAGAUUGUAACUUCUCUGUCAGGAAAUAGUGGAGGAAGCACCAGAAGUAUAUGUAUAUAUUGUCAAGGAGGCAUAUAUUUAUUUACAGUGAUGUCAGGAUUAUGCUUUGUGUUGUCCAAAUCUAUGGGAUAUUUUAGGAUGCAGUGACUUAUGAUGAUGUGCGUGUGAACUUCACUGAGGAAGAGUGGGAUUUGCUGGAUCCUUCCCAGAAAAGUCUCUAUGAAGAGGUGAUGCUGGAGACCUACCAGAACAUCACUGCUAUAGGCUACAAUUGGGAAGACCAUCAUAUUGAAGAACAUUGUCAAAGUUCUAGAAGACAUGAAAGGUAA
rnacentral:lncRNA from 1 species